AUGGCUUGGUCAGGGUCUGGGUGCUGUUCAUACCCCAGUUUCAGUCCCUGGUGCAUUUUUUUUUAAUUAUUUAUUUAUUUAUUUUUGAGCUGGAGUCUUGCUCUGUCACCCAGGCUGGAGUACUGUGGCGUGAUCUCUGCUCACUGCAACCUCCACCUUCUGGAUUCAAGCGAUUCUCCUGUCUCAGCCUCCUGAGCAGCUGGGAUUACAGGUGCAUGCCACCAAGCCCGGCUAAUUUUUGUAUUUUAGUGAAGACAGGGUUUCGUCACGUUGGCCAGGCUGGUCUCAAACUCCUGACCUCAGGUGAUCCUCUGGUGCAUGUUUUAAUGGGGCCAAAAGGAGAUGACACAAGGGCAAGGGGAACCAUAGGCAUCUGUGCAACUCCUGAGUUGCAUGAAAAGGAAGACAAGUUGGAAGAUUGUCAUUUCGAGGAGUGAGUACUUGUUCAUACCGAAAACUGCAGAGAGGACAAGCAAGAUAACCGAAAAAAAUCCAAGAGUCCUUUGGAGGCAGCUAUACGGACUUAAAAGGGCAAAAACCAGUUUAGGAUGGGGUGAGUAGUGAGUUGAAACUGGGGAUCUGGGGACAGUCCCUGCAGAUGACUCUAGAGCAG
rnacentral:lncRNA from 1 species